rnacentral:rRNA from 18 species
UAAGGAAGUAAGAUCCCUGAAAGAUGAUCAGGUUGAUAGGUCUGAGGUGGAAGUGUGGCGACACAUGGAGCUGACAGAUACUAAUCGAUCGAGGACUUAACCACAUUU